UGCUUGUUAGUGCACGAGUGUCCAACAAUUUAUUAUAAUGUCUUCAUUUGAAGAUGUUGUAACAGAAUUAAUAUAUGAAAGUAUGUUCUUUUGGCGUUAAAUUUACAAACUUGUCUUGAUCUGAGAAAAGUAUCCAAGAAGCUUUUUAGGGAUAUCUUUUUAUAGAUUUUUUUAAAAUGUAAUUGAAAGCAAACGGGCAGGAGGCUCAGGUGAUGUUAAGUUAUAACGCCGCCAUGGAUACUCGCAUUGCCAUAAGGCUCGCAAGUGAGUUCCCGGCCCUUUAUAUAUACACAAAGUAGAAAUCAAUGUCAACUGGAGUAUAUCAUCCCUAAGCUGGGUAAACGGACAGGACAAGCCAGAGGGCUCACGAGUGCGUUGAAGAACCUUAAGUCGAAUUGGUUCGGAACUACUUUAGGGGGCACCUUAUUUCACAUAGUGGUGGUGCCUGACACAAACUACUUUAAAUAACGCUCAGUUGUGGAACGACGGA